rnacentral:rRNA from 1 species
AGCGAACGUUAGCGGCGCGCCUAACACAUGCAAGUCGCACGAGAAAGGGAGCAAUCCCCGGUACAGUGGCGCACGGGUGAGUAACACGUAGAUGACCUUCCUGGAGUGGUGGAUAACCUGCCGAAAGGCGGGCUAAUACAGCAUGGGACCACAUGGUUUUGACCGAGUGGUGAAAGCGGGCCUCUGUUCACAAGCUCGCGCUCUGGGAUGGGUCUGCGUCCCAUCAGCUAGUUGGUGAGGUAAUGGCUCACCAAGGCAUCGACGGGUAGCUGGUCUGAGAGGAUGACCAGCCACACUGGAACUGAGACACGGUCCAGACUCCUACGGGAGGCAGCAGUGGGGAAUCUUGCGCAAUGGGCGAAAGCCUGACGCAGCGACGCCGCGUGGGUGAUGAAGGCCUCGGUUG